rnacentral:lncRNA from 10 species
CCCACUGGGACCCUGUGACGUCAUCACAAAAGGCCACUGACCACAUCCCCUUGGUGCCUCCAAGUGGGGCGUGAAAUCAUUUUCCUUCCGGGCUUCGCUGACACCAAAGAGAAGAGGGAGGUCAGCAGAGAGCCAGCUACCACCUCUUACCACCACCUUCUGCCUUGUAGACACCAGGUGGGGUGGGAGCUCGGCUCCGUGCUCGGACCCACUACCUCACACUGCCUGUUAGAUCCCACUGUUGCUGGGAGAGGAUGGACCCCACUGACACUACUCUGGGGGAGGAACCAAAGCACUGCUGCCUCCAUGUGAAGGGGAUGGGAGACCAGGCCGUCCUCGCUUCUGCAGUACAGACCCCGGGAGGCAUCAGAGCUUUCUGCUUCUGCUCAAGCUCCUGAUUUGAGGCAUCAAACUCCCACAGUGAGUUCCCCGCUUCAGGGCCGCAGGACAGCGUCUGGCUUCCUCACUUCCUGCCUAAUGGAUCUUGCUGCGCAAAUUGGACUUUUCGGGUUUUAUUACUCCCUAAGGGGAUUGCUGCUGGAUUACGCUCAUUUACUUUUUUAUUCUUUAUCUAUUAUUUACACAAGAAAAUAUUCCUGUUUUUCUUUCUGAAUAUCCUCCGUUAUUCCUGGCAUUAGCGGAAUAAUUUUUGUCAGUUUUAUAAAUUGCCUAUGACUGUACAUUUCCGAGCCAAUGUGUUGAGGAGUUCCUAUGAAUCGGCGGUAACCGAUGAUGAACAGCCCAGGCGCCCAGUGGCGGUGCAGGACGAGGCCCCUUCACCUCCGCUCUAAACCCUGGAGAAGGCGCUGGGGGUCUCGGGGAGGCAGGAGGUGGGAGUGCGCCCCGCAGCCUCCUAAGACCGCCCCCCGCCCCCCGCUGCGUCCUGCACAGGGAGCUCCAGGCUGUUGCAGGAGGAUGCGGGAGGCGGGGUUCAAGGGGCGCGCAGGAGCCCCGGAGGCGCGCGCUGCUUUGCAGCUCCUAAGGCUGUGCCGACGUAGGGGACCUCACCCGGGGCUUGGGAAGCGCACCCCUGAUUUAUAAGCAGCGCGUGCUGAGCGGUCGCGGCUCAGUCCGGUGCAGCUGAGGGACCAGGGCUCCCUGGACGGCCUCGCCCGCGCGUCCUCGGUCAUUGCGUUUGUCCGGGGAGCUUGCGCGGCGUCUCCCGGCUCCCUGGGCGGGCUCUGCGCCCCAGGCCCCGCGCUCACUCUGGCUCGGUGUCGACCCCCUCGCUGGCCCAUGCAGCCUCGUCCUGCCCCUCGCGGCUCCUCCGCCCUGGUUUCUGCGUCCUUCCCUCAUCCGCUCGCCACAACCCGGCGGAGCUGCCCAGCCCAAGGUGCAGUGUGCGCCCCUGGGACGCGCCUCUGAGAGCCACGAGGGCCCUGAAUGCACAGCGCGGGAGUUUCAGGCCCAGGAGUGACCGCCUGCACUUGCGCGCUCAUUAACUCUUCUCUGCCUGCCUGGGCCCCCGGCGUGAGUGGGAAUCACGGCCCACGGACGCCUGGGAUGACUCGGCCUUGCGCCCCGGCGUGCAGCAGGUCUCUGGGCAGGUCUCUGGGCGCAGCGAACCCUGGUCUGCCGGGAGCUCCUUCUUGACCUUCCUUCCUCCACAAGAAGGGAGCGCCUCCCGACAGGCCACAGGCUACAUCAUUUUGGAUUAUGCAAUAAAAUGCUUGGUUUGUGCGCGUACAAGGGCACCAGCUAAUGCCCCAGGGCAGGGCUUACUGUGGCCACUGCUGAACCAAAUAAAAGCCCACGUGAUGUGGAAACUGCAUGGAAUAAUACGUUGUCUGGACAGGCGUCACUUACAAAUCUCGAGACCGGGUUCUUUGUGUAAAUGGUACUUUACUUUUAAACAGUUUAGGAAAAGCCCAGUUAUCUUUCAUUCACACGCCUGUUCUCUGUCCCGGGUGGGUGCCCCUGCUGAGCGGACAGA